AGUGAACGCUGGCGGUAGGCCUAACACAUGCAAGUCGAACGGCAGCACAGUAAGAGCUUGCUCUUACGGGUGGCGAGUGGCGGACGGGUGAGGAAUACAUCGGAAUCUACUUUUUCGUGGGGGAUAACGUAGGGAAACUUACGCUAAUGCCGCAUACGGCCUACGGGUGAAAGCAGGGGAUCUUCGGACCUUGCGCGAUUGAAUGAGCCGAUGUCGGAUUAGCUAGUUGGCGGGGUAAAGGCCCACCAAGGCGACGAUCCGUAGCUGGUCUGAGAGGAUGAUCAGCCACACUGGAACUGAGACACGGUCCAGACUCCUACGGGAGGCAGCAGUGGGGAAUAUUGGACAAUGGGCGCAAGCCUGAUCCAGCCAUACCGCGUGGGUGAAGAAGGCCUUCGGGUUGUAAAGCCCUUUUGUUGGGAAAGAAAAGCAGCAGGUUAAUACCCCGCUGUUCUGACGGUACCCAAAGAAUAAGCACCGGCUAACUUCGUG
rnacentral:rRNA from 1 species